rnacentral:rRNA from 1 species
UGAGGAAUAUUGGUCAAUGGUCGGGAGACUGAACCAGCCAAGCCGCGUGAGGGAAGAAGGUACAGCGUAUCGUAAACCUCUUUUGCCGGGGAACAAGAGCUUCCACGAGUGGGAGUGUGAGCGUACCCGGAGAAAAAGCAUCGGCUAACUCCGUGCCAGCAGCCGCGGUAAUACGGAGGAUGCGAGCGUUAUCCGGAUUUAUUGGGUUUAAAGGGUGCGUAGGCGGCGAGUUAAGUCAGCGGUAAAAGCCCGGGGCUCAACCCCGGCCCGCCGUUGAAACUGGCUGGCUUGAGUUGGGGAAAG